rnacentral:rRNA from 1 species
UACGUAGGGGGCAAGCGUUGUCCGGAAUCAUUGGGCGUAAAGAGCGUGUAGGCGGCCCGGUAAGUCCGCUGUGAAAGUCCAGGGCUCAACCCUGGAAUGCCGGUGGCUACUGUCGGGCUAGAGUCCGGAAGGGGCGAGUGGAAUUCCUGGUGUAGCGGUGAAAUGCGCAGAUAUCAGGAGGAACACCAAUGGCGAAGGCAGCUCGCUGGGACGUGACUGACGCUGAGACGCGAAAGCGUGGGGAGCAAACAGG